GUGGGGGGACAAAAUCAACCUGUGUGUUUUGAUCUCUGGUGUGGGGGGACAAAAUCAACCUGCUGUCCUGAUCUCUGGUGUGGGGGGACAAAAUCAACAUGCGGGCGAUGGUGCACUCAGAUGCGCGCGUGCGGUCUGGUCAGCAUUUUUAGACGCUGCGCCACUUGGAGGCCCUUGCCUGUCUAAGUUACCAACAAGCAAACAUGAAUUAAUAAUGACAAGGCCAUAGUUUUUCAUAUUUCAAUAACAGUGAAAAUUGGAGUGAGUUUAGCAGACUUAAUAAACAUCAGAAGGCAGCUGAGUCACUAGAGGCAGAACAGACAUUGUAAACUAAAGGGAAAGAACAUCUUAGCUUGUCGUAAAAUUACAAAUAGUCAUUCAUCAAGAUUAAAAUAUGUCCUUGUUUGUUACUUAUUUCUACAUACACAAAUAAUGCAUCUUUUACCCUGCCUUGGUUCGCAUUUUGACUAGGUUGAGGCAAGGCUACUGAUUAACCACUAUACAGUUUAAAGGGAUAAUCCACCCCCAGAAAUAAAAAACAUAACUCCUGUUUAUUUGGUGAAUGUUUAUGUUCUAUCAGUGGGUAAAAUACAACAUUUCCCCAUGAUGUAACUUCCAAGUUGUGAAAAUCAGGAAAUCGUGUGAGAACACUUCAUAGCUACAUAAUUAUUGUCACUGGAGAUAUGGGAUCACAUUUCAUAAAACAAUGACCUACACUCCAGGCCGCCAAAUCAGCCAAUAGAUGGCCUUCCUCAUCUGGAACACAUCCAUCCGUUUAUAUCGUCAUGACGAAGUUUAGCUUUCGUUUAAAUGUGCUCAAUCUAAACAGUGUAAUAAAUUAUUAACCUCCAAUUCUCCUUCAAGUACCAUGUAGCAAUGCGCUGAGUCUGUAGGAUAACCGAAAACGCGUCAAGCUAAUUUUAGAUUUAAACAACCAUUACACCAUGCCCAAACCAGACGCGCGAGUGCAUCCGCCAUCGUGCGCAAAUUGAUUUUGUCCCCUCACUCCAAACGCGAUCAUGACACGAAAUAUCAAAACAAACUCUCAACCAAUUAUAUUAAUUUGGGGACAGGUCGAAAAGCAUUAAACAUUUAUGGCAAUUUAGCUAGCUUAUUUGUCCUGGGAUAUAAACAUUGAGUUGUUAUUUUACCUGAAAUGCACAAGGUCCUCUACUCCAACAAUUAAUCCACACAUAAAGCGGUCAACCGGAUUCUUUCUAGUCAUCUCUCCUUCCUUCAGGGUUAUUUUUCGUCUUUGGACUUUACAUGGCGAUGACCCCGGAGCAGCUAGAGAGGGACAUCAGAACAAGUCUAACUUCACCAGUACCACCAUGGCUGAGAACACAGGGUGGAAGGUACCAUGGUACAUGACCCUACUACAUGAGAAGGUAAUUCAUCUGUCAGACGAGGUCAGGAAUCGGAGGGAGGUGGAGAAGGAGGUGCAGGAGAAGAGCCAGCAUACAGCCAGGAUAGAAGAGAAGAUCCACAGGCUGAGAGAUGCCAGCCCUGGUUCUUCAGAAAUAGAGAAUGCUGUGGACAGUGACAGUGGACAGUGAGGAGGAAGACACCAGUAUCACUUACUGAACAGAUGACAGAACCAACAAACCAUUGAUGCAGGAGUUAGAGGCCAGGAAGAAUCAUGUGAUCUCCUCUGGUACAGUGAGUUCCUUGUGUAGAACUCUGUCCAUAAAGGAAGGAGAGCUGAUCACUGCUAAAGGCCAGCAGGAUGAGUUGGGACGGCAGAUGAGGACAGGUUAGUCUAGCUAUAGGUCAUGUCCAGGAAGAUAGUGAAGGACAGGUUGGCCCAGCUACAGGCCAUGUCCAGGAAGAUAGUGAAGGACAGGUUGUCCCAGCUAAAGGUAUUGUCUAGGAAGGUGUGAACAUGCUUUGAGUGUGUAGAUUUGUAGAUUAGGCUACAUAGCCAUCUAUGUGAAUCAGACCUGGGUGAAAUAUGUACUACAGGUGCUCAUGAUUUAGCUUAACCGGCAGGCAGUUUGCACUUUUGGGACUAUUCAGCUCUUUCCGUUGUGCCUAGAUCGAGCACACCUAAAGUCCUUUUCAAAUACACUGCGAAUGUGACUUUUCUAAGAACUGCCUUUACUUUCAGUUCUCCUGUUUACGUGAAGGUAUGAGGAACUCGUGAUAAUACUGGAGGAGAAUGGAAAAAUGAUGUAGUCCAGGUGCAAGAGGGAGUGACCCAGAUGAAACAGGAAGUAGCUGAGGUCAAAGGUUAGACUAGCAGCUCAGCCGAGCAUUGAAGGUGAAGAGAGAAGCCCAGAGGAGCCGGGGGAGAGAGGCCCAGGUCUGCCAGGAGACCAUUGACACACUGAACCUGCAGAGCAACAGCCUAGUGGCCCUGGAGUAGAUAAAGACCAGGGUAUCUGACCUCUCUCCUCAUUCAUAGUAAUCUGGAGUACAGACCAGGAUAUGACUGACCUCUCUCCACAUCCGUAGUCAACUGGAAUACAGACCAGGGUAUAAUUACAAUGGCGCCGGAGGAGAUGGCUGCAGUUUUACGGCCUACUAACCAAUUUUGCGUGUGUGUUUUCACAUUAUUUGUAACUUAUUUUCUACAUAAUGUUUCUGCCACCAUCUCUUAUGACCAAAAAUAGCUUCUGGAUAUCAGGACACCGAUUGCUCACCUCGAACUGGACAAAGAUUUUUAAUUUAACGAGUCGGACGCAAAGGAUUUAUUCCAGACACCCGACAAGGCCCAAAUCCCCGUCAUUCACAUGAAGAGAUGGAUAUAUCGGGACGUAGGUCGGGGUGCCUUGUAAGGAUCCAACGGAGAGUGUGUAAUCUGCCUUUACCAUCAGUCCAAUUAGCCAACGUACAACCAUUAGAUAACAAAAUAGACGAGCUGCGAUCACGAAUAUCCUACCAACGGGACAUUAAAAACUGUAAUAUAUUAUGUUUCACUGAGCUGUGUGGCUGAACGACGACAUGGAUAACAUACAGCUGGCUGGGUUUCCGUGCAUCGGCAAGAUAGAACAGCUGCCUCCGGCACAGCAGAUGGAACCAGCGUUGGCAUGCAAAACAUUCAAUCAAAACAAAGCCAAGCGUAACACGUUAUAAAUAAUAUCAAAUAUCAAUGCAGUAUGACGAAUGAGCCAUCCAUUGUGUUAUAUCAUAAAUUGUCUUACAUGCCGUCACUGUUGUCAAAAGAUUAUAAACAUGUUAAAUAAAGUUACUAACCCAGUCA